CAACCCUGGUACGUAUGCUCAAUAGCGCAUGGCAAACGGCGGUGGUGUUGACCUGGGAUUUGAAAAAACAGCAGGUUUGUUUGAUAAAUGGAAUGGGGUAUUGAAGAUUUUAUCUGCACGUUUGAAGGAAGCUUACUUUACGAAGAGUGAAGGAGAGCACUCAGCCACUGAAUACUAUACCUAGAAGAGUUCCUGAAAAAUGUGAGGAGCCGGUCACCACAUUUGCAGCCAGUAUUCAAUGAGUGAUUUUUCUUUAGUAAAAGCACUUCUGAAGAUUGAGCAGGACUUCAGAGCUAUCUAUGGAGAAGCUGCAGACACAUAGAUGAAGUAAUCCCAGAGUUGACAGACAGCAUAUUAAAAUUUGGACCCAAGCAAAGUACAGCAAUCAACAUAUCUACUACUACUACUUCAGAACCACAUUAACGAGCGAUUGAAACAUUUCCCAUCCUACCGUCUCUGCAUGUAGAGGAGAAGCAAAGAGCCAAAAGAGCAACAGUAAAUUAGGCUCUGACACUGACAGCCUUCGAGGAUUCACCACCUGCAAGUACAUGAAUAUCUAAUAGACUCUAUCAUCUUAAAAGGCAGGCUCCGUAAAAUUAUUGAUAUGUUGUACAACUGAUUUUUUAAAGACACACUAAGCAUAUUUGACGAAGAACUUGGGAACGGUUAAUUGAGGUACAGAUUUAUGAAUUUUCAAAAACUGAGGGAAAAGGUGGAGAGAUGUAUGGUUACAGUGUUACACCCUAUUUCCCAAAGUUUUUAAAUAUUCAAAAAUCUGCCUUAACUUAUUAACUGUUCCCAAGUUUUCCGUCAAAUAUACUUUUGUGUCUUAUAAAAGUUUGUUAUACUGUACAACAUAUAAAAAAUGUUUUUUCCUCCUGAGCCUGACUUUAGCCCCUUUCAGACAAGAAAAUACAGCAAUGUUACAAUAGCCGGCGUUAUUGCCGGUCUAGACCCUUUCAAACAGAUGCUCAGUCUCUGGUAAUAUUACCGUAUCCUUUCUGAAAGGUUCCCAUCAAAAAGUGUAAACAUUGGAGUACUCAUUUUUAGUAAACAUGGCAAGCAAUAAUUAUGAUAUUGUUAAUUCUUUUCCUACCUUCCCUCUGGAGAUAUUUUUAAAUCAGGUGCGCCUUGUAUCUUUGGAAAAGGCCCAAUAUAUAAAGACAUUAUUAUUAUUAUUAUUAUUAUUAUUAUUAUUAUUAUUAUUAUUAUUAUUAUUAUUAUUAUUAUUAUUAUCAUUAUUAUUAUUAUUAUUAUUGUUAUUAUUAUUAUUAUUAUUAAACAAGGUAUAAAUGAGUCUUGCCUAACCUGAAUUAUUUUAGUAAAAUAUAUAAUAAUAUACCAAUACAUGGUAAAAUCAGUAUAUAGUAACUAUUAAUGAUUAUCCAUCUUUUCUCGCAGCUCACAGAUAUAUUAAUUUAGUGUUUCUGUACCCAUUUAGUGAUUGAAUUUUAUUUGUAUUUGAUCUUUCAAAAAUAAAGAAUUUUACAAUGGUAUACGUACAUAGUGUUUAUGUCUGU